CUCUCGAGAAGAGCUAACUUGUAACUGAGAUGCCAAGGUGAUAGUAUUUCAAACUAAUCAUGUUAUUAUGUUGAAAAGUUGAAACAUAAUGGUGUCUGACGGGCUUGGAAUGCCAUCACCAUUGCAUCUCAUGUUCCAUGUAAGUUAAUCUCAUCU
rnacentral:pre_miRNA from 1 species